GAUGAACGCUAGCGGCAGGCUUAAUACAUGCAAGUCGAGGGGCAGCACGAAUAGCAAUAUUUGGUGGCGACCGGCGCACGGGUGCGUAACACGUAUACAAUCUACCUUAAACAGGGAGAUAGCCUUUCGAAAGAGAGAUUAAUACCCCGAAAUAAACUGGAUGGCAUCAUCUGGUUUUGAAAGUUCCGACGGUUUAAGAUGAGUAUGCGUCUGAUUAGCUAGUUGGUGGUGUAAUGGACCACCAAGGCGACGAUCAGUAGGGGAUCUGAGAGGACUACCCCCCACACUGGUACUGAGACACGGACCAGACUCCUACGGGAGGCAGCAGUAAGGAAUAUUGGUCAAUGGAGGCAACUCUGAACCAGCCAUGCCGCGUGCAGGAAGACGGCCCUAUGGGUUGUAAACUGCUUUUGUACCAGAGAAAACCUAUCUACGUGUAGAUAGCUGAUAGUAUGGUAAGAAUAAGCAUCGGCUAACUUCGUGCCAGCCGCCGCCGUAAAAC
rnacentral:rRNA from 1 species